UUCCCCAUUAUCUGUGAAUAAUAGACAAGGAAAACCUGACUCAGUUAUGGAGUAAUAAUAUACUUUGAGAACACAAGCAAAUCGCUCAUUAACAUACGAAAUGUGUAGCUAGAGGUUGCUUGUUCAUGUGGGAAAUUGUCUUGCGUAAAGCCUAUGGUGCAAGAGAUAAUUAAAUUGGUAAGGAAUGCAAGUACUUUCCAUUAUUGGUUAAUACAUUUUAGAUAUGUUAAAGACGGAUAUCAUAUCAAAGAAGAUGGAACAAACCCUGGCACUGGCUUCUUCAAGUUCUUUGAGGGCAUUUUCGCCUACUUGGUCAAACUCGACAUUGGCCUCUUCAGCAAAUUUUGUAAGAUAUUCCGAUCGUUCAUCCAAGUAAUCGGUAAGACGGACUUUUUGGGCUUGGAGCAUUGCAAUUCUUGCUAGAAGCUCUUGUUUUCGUGCAUCACCUUCAGGUGAGGGUUCUGGUGAUGAUGACUGUGUAUUUGUAUCAGAGUCUUUUGACUUGCUGACGAACAAUAUCCUUGAACGGUGGUUUUUGUUCUUGAUGAAGAAAUCGGUUCUAUGAAAAAAGUCAUGUUUUGUCGUAGUGAAAAUUGUUUGUAUGGCUUUCAAUGAAAUCAUGCUAUGUUUUCUGUUAUGUUUUGAAACAGAAGCAGCUUCUUUGAACCUCUUAUCAAUUCAAUACAUUAUCUUGUUUUUGUGUCAAA